GGGGCUAUAGCUCAGUUUGGGAGAGCACCACACUUGCACUGUGGGGGUCAGCGGUUCGAUCCCGCUUAGCUCCA
rnacentral:tRNA from 1 species